rnacentral:rRNA from 1 species
UGGGGAAUAUUGGGCAAUGGAGGAAACUCUGACCCAGCGACGCCGCGUGCGGGAUGAAGGCCUUCGGGUUGUAAACCUCUUUCAGCAGGGAAUAAGCGCAAGUGAAGGUACCUGCAGAAGAAGCACCGGCUAACUAUGUGCCAGCAGCCGCGGUAAUACAUAGGGUGCAAGCGUUGUCCGGAAUUAUUGGGCGUAAAGAGCUCGUAGGUGGUUUGUUACGUCGGUUGUGAAAUUCAGGGGCUCAACCCCUGACUUGCAGCCGAUACGGGCAAGCUAGAGUUUGGUAGGGGAGACUGGAAUUCCUGGUGUAGCGGUGGAAUGCGCAGAUAUCAGGAGGAACACCGAUGGCGAAGGCAGGUCUCUGGGCCAAUACUGACACUGAGGAGCGAAAGCGUGGGGAGCGAACAGG